rnacentral:rRNA from 1 species
GUUGUUGCGGUUAAAAAGCUCGUAGUUGGAUUUCUGUUGAGGACGGCCGGUCCGCACUAUGUGCGUGUAUCUGGUUCGGCCUUGGCAUCCUCUUGAGGAACGUUCCUGCGCUUGAUUGCGUGGGGCGGUAUUCAAGACUUUUACUUUGAGGAAAUUAGAGUGUUCACGGCAGGCAAGCGCCUUGAAUACAUUAGCAUGGAAUAAUAAUAUAGGAUCUUGGUUCUAUUUGUUGGUUUCUAGGGCUAAGGUAAUGAUUAAUAGGGAUAAUUGGGGGCAUUUGUAUUAACGCGUCAGAGGUGGAAUUCUUGGAUUGCGUUACGACAAACUACUGCGAAAGCAUUUGCCAAGGAUGUGUUCAUUGAUCAAGAACGAAAGUAUGGGGAUCUAAAAUGAUUAGAUACCGUCGUAGUCUAUACCAUAUACUAUGCCGACUAUGGGUUGGAGGUCGUUCUUUUUAUGACUCCUUCAGCACCUUAUGAGAAAUCAAAGUCUUUGGGUUCCGGGGGGAGUAUAUUCGCAAGGCUGAAACUU